rnacentral:tRNA from 1 species
GGAAGUGUGCCUGAAAGACUAAAGGGCUACUUUGAUAGAGUAAAACACGAGAGUUAAAGUCUCUCCACUUCCU